UACGUAGGUGGCAAGCGUUGUCCGGAUUUAUUGGGUUUAAAGGGUGCGUAGGCGGCUUAAUAAGUCAGUGGUGAAAGCCGAUCGCUUAACGAUCGAACUGCCAUUGAUACUGCUAGGCUUGAGUAUAGUUGAGGUAGGCGGAAUUGACAGUGUAGCGGUGAAAUGCAUAGAUAUUGUCAAGAACACCAAUUGCGAAGGCAGCUUACUAAAUUAUAACUGACGCUGAGGCACGAAAGUGUGGGUAUCAAACAGG
rnacentral:rRNA from 1 species